GUUUGAAACAGACCGAAGUGAUUAUAUAUAUUUGUAAAAUAAAUGUUUAAUUCUCCAGAUUUGCAUAAACUUUUUCCCUCGAUUUUUUCAAUCGUUUCUUUACAAAUAAUUUCUUAAAACACAACUGUUGAAAUCCCGACGUUUCACACGAAGCUAUAUUACAGCAUUCCGCUCGAGUUUGUAUACUUGAUAAAAGGUUUCCGUUUUGCAAGUUUUGAAUUGCAAUAGUGCGGUAUUCUAUUAGAAUUGCGAUACUGCGACAUAUAUUAAUUUUAACUUUUUAGUCAUGCUUGAACUGUAAGAAACAUUGCUUUUGCAGCCGACGAGAUAUGCUGUCUUAUAAGAUCUGUAGUUG
rnacentral:lncRNA from 1 species